rnacentral:rRNA from 1 species
UUCCUACGGGACGCAGCAGUAGGGAAUCUUCCACAAUGGACGAAAGUCUGAUGGAGCAACGCCGCGUGAGUGAAGAAGGGUUUCGGCUCGUAAAGCUCUGUUGGUAGUGAAGAAAGAUAGAGGGAGUAACUGGCCUUUAUUUGACGGUAAUUACUUAGAAAGUCACGGCUAACUACGUGCCAGCAGCCGCGGUAAUAAGUAGGUGGCAAGAGAUGUCCGGGUGUAUUGGGCGUAAAGCGAGUGCAGGCG